GCAGCGCGUCCCUGCCUGCAGCUGUGGCACGGCAAUGACCUACAGCCCGUGCUCCUCCCAUUGAUGUGGGUGCACGCAGACUUUGCAGGGUCCAAGCUCUGCAUUUUAGUACUCAUUUUGAAUGAGUUUUCUUUAAAUCACGUUUAUUUUCGAUGUUGGCUUUCUCGGGACCGCAUUCAGGAUCUGAGCUUUCUGCAUCAGAAUCCAAGACAACUCCUCAUUUUGUUGAAGAAUUGUCCAGAAAUGAAGAAGACUUUCCUGUCAGAGGGAGAUUUCUCUGCCAUGGAUCUCAUCUGGGUUCUGGAAACUACUGUUCCCCUGAGAAAAUGAAGGGAAUAUGGACCUCUCCAGGAGUCAAAUUUCUGUCUUUUGCAUACCUGCACUGAUUGGGCUUCCAAGGUGGGAGAUUUCUUACCUUCUCCUUUGGAUAGUAACAGCAGAGCAUUUGUUUGGUCCACCUUGCCCAGGGAGGAGGCUACCAUCAGCACUAGUGGGCAUGCAGGUUCAGAGAGAUGGGCAGGAUCUGCAUGAGCCUUGAACCAAGACUGCUGAACACAAUGUCAGUAGGUGUUUUGCUUGACUUUACACUCCAUGUUUGGGCAUGUUUGAAAGCAGGCAAGGCAGUUGACUGAAUGCAUUCAGAUCUCCAGCCCAGAGGAGAUGACAAUUUAAUUUUGAAUCACAGAAUCACAGAGUAACACAGAAUCACAGAACUGCAGCGGUUGGAAGGGACCUCAUGAAAACGAAUCCAGCUCCCCUGCUAAAGCAGGUACCCUACAGCACGUUGCAUAGGUAGGUGUCCAGAUGGAUCUUGAAUAUUCCCAUAGAAAGAGACCCCACAACCUCUCUGAGCAGCCUGUUCCCCUUACUGUAAAGAAGUUCUUCUGCAAGUUGGUACAGAACUUCCUAUGUUCAAGUUUUAGGUAAUUGUUCCUUGUCCUGUUGUUACACACCACUGAGAAUAGACUGGCCCCAUCCAUUUGCCUUUGACCUCCCUUUAGAUAUUUAUAAACAUUUAUCAGAUCUCUCCUCAGUCAUUUCACCAGGUGAACAGACCCAGGUUACUCAGACUUUCCUCAUAUGUGAGAUGGUCCAAGUCCUUUACCAUCUUUGUGGCCCUCCACCAGUCUCCUUCUAGGAGAUCGCUGUGUUUUUUGAACUGAGGAGCCCAGAACUGGACACAGUACUCCAGAUGUGGCAUCAUCAGGGCAGAGUAGAGGGGGAGGAUCACUUCUGUUGACCUGCUGGCCAUGCUGAUGACCAGCAGGAUGAGCUAAAAAAAAUAGGAGAUGAGGUUGCCCAUAGAUGCAACCCUCUUGGAGCUUCUCUAAAACAAGCCCAUCUGUUUGCUCAUAUUUACCCUGUCUGGAUGAUGCUACAGACUUUUUUGCAGCUAUCAUUUCCCAGUGUUGUUGAAUUCAGGGUGGAAAUAGUGGUGAGAACAUUUUCCUGGGACUCUUCCUCCCCUCUGAACUGAAAUGGAGCCCACCCCUGGCAAGAGAUGGGCAGGUGGAAGACAGCGUAAGUGUUGUGUGGAAAGGGACACUGACCUGCUCUGUCGUCUCUGAUGAAUUACUUCCACAAAGCAGCAACGUGGUUAUCUUUAACAAGAACUUUGUCCAGCACAGCGAGGCUUUGCUUCAGCUUCGCCACUGUGGAAUACUCUCAUAACUUUAAUUCAUAUCAGGGGUCGAUUGUGAGUUUAAAUAUAUGCAAUGCACUUUUAAGUCUUGUGCAAACAAAGACCAGACAGGGACUGGGACAAACUGAUGCAUGAGCAACCAUGUUGUUCCUUCUCCAGUCCAAGAACUGGAUUCUUUCACAAAAUCCUCUGUGUGGCAGUGAUAACAAGACAAAUAUUUGACAUAGCUGUAAGAUAACACUCUGACACACUAGUAAACACAAGUGAAUUAGUGGUUAUGAGAGAGACCCCAUGACACAGUUGCUUGCAGUAAGUUGGAUGCCAUCUCUUAGAAGACUUCUUGCAACCUGUUCUUAUCGGUUUUUGGUACAGAUUAAUGGGGAGUCUUCCAGUAGGAUUUGGGUUACUGUCUGGCAUAGACACUUUUGAAAAUCUUACCUUAUCUCUAUGUAAUGACUAUGUAAUUCAUGCAGUGUGUUGAAGGUACACUUGAAAAAGUAGGUCUGGAUCGUAAUAUCCCUCCCUGCAUCCUUCUUUCCCAUCAGGCCAAAAUGGCACACCUCUGUGUGUGCUGGAUUACAAUUUAUGCUGAAAAUGUUCCACAAAGGUCAUAGCAGCUAUCUGAGGAACAAGCAGAGCUGUGCACCCUGCCCUGUGCUCAUGUAGAUUACCAGAGGUAGCAAUAAGGCCAGGGACUGUGUGCAGUAAGGAAAACUAGAGAAACUUGGAAACUGCGCAGGCUUUAGAUUGUAGAGUGUUACCAAGGGCUCAGAUGGGAGAGUUUACCAGAAGAAGUGCAAUUUAGAAAUUGAAACAGAUGGAAUUUCAGUAUCCUUUGCAAAUUGGCGUAUCAGACUCCUACAAUAGCUUGCAGAAUCCUUGUCCCUCCCAGUGCAUAGCUGGUUCUUACUCCCUGAACUUGAUUUGUUAACAUCUGAUGUCGAAGGGUCUGUUUCUUAUUUUUGUUGAGUUAUACCUUAAAUGUGUCCUUUUUGGCUACUUAUGUUCUCAUUUCUGCAAAGCGGCAGCCAAGCAGGGGCCCAAGAGCUCAUUCCUGGCCUUCAGAUUUAUUCCCAUCGCUUUGAUGGGUUGAGUCUGGUGCUGCCUGUAUUGCAGAGCACCUGGAUGGGGCGAUCACAGGCAUUCACUGGCACUGUGAUCUCAGCUGUGGAAACAAUUCUGCUGGCAGCAGAAGCUCAGUUUCACUGGGGAGGGGCCCAUAUUUCUUGUUUGAAGUGUGUGAAGCCUCAUCACAGUUCUGUUAUCAGACCCACUGGAAUUUUUUCCUUUCCUCUCUUCUUGGUCCACCUUCUCUCAUUCCUCUAAAUCUUACUUUACUUCUGCUUCUUCUCAAAGUCCCUAAUGUUACUUUUCUGGCUCUUUUUUUCUGUAAUCUCUCCCUUCAUUUUUUCUUCACCCAUUAGCUCUUCCUUCACAAUGCUCCUCUACUGCCUCCUCCAUUUUCUCUGCCUCUCUUGUUCACUUUCCAGGUGCCUCUCAUUCUUCUCCCCAUGUCCUCACUUUCAUUUCUUCUCCAGAAGCUCUCUGAAUUGCUGCAGCUAUGGGGUAUACCCCUUGGAAAGAUAGCCCUGUCUGAGUUAGAGGUGCUGUGAGCUGCAGGUCUGUUGCUGAUGUUAGUAUUUUUUUUGACAAGUGACACAGGUGACACAAGUGACACAGGGGGCCCAUGGAGCCAAGUAGCGUAGCUGGGCAGUAGAAGGCAGCUUAUGCCACAAAAGACAUCACUUGCUCCAUGGACCAAAAGAGAUUACAGCCCCAUUCCGACACAUAAACCAUUGAGGUUUACUGAAAAUAAGGAUUGAUUUGCUGGGCUAUUUAGAGGCAUUAAGAUGCAGAUAUAUAUUUUCUCCCCAGUCUGAUGUCAUUUUGCAUGUUAACUGCCUAAUUCCUUUUAGCCUAUUGAUUUUACUGGUUUAUAAGAAUGACACUUGUGUAGAAACUGUGGAGAACUUUGCUCAGGGUGACCAGUGAAGACUGUCAGUUUCUCUCAGUCGUCUUAUGGGGGGACUGAAGGCUCAGCACAGUUUAAGAGGAGAAAAAAUAGGGAGAGAAAGAACAAUGGCACUUCAUAGACCAUACUCCUUAGGUUGUAUCUGACUCUGGCUAAAUGACCUGGACUGAAAAAUGUUUUCCUGAGGCUCAGCUCAGCUGACAUCUGCAGCAUGGUCCUCAUAUUUUGUGAUAGUCGAGAGUGGUAUUCAUGAAAUUCUGUGUCAACUUCUUUAGCAUAUUAAGAUUGAAGAAUGCUAUGAAGUAAGCAUGAAUAUCAUUAUUCAAUUUCUCUUCCUUCUAGUAACUCUGAUUUACUUCAGAUUUUACGUGAUCUCCCAAUUAUCAGAGUUUGAUGUGCCACAGGUGUUUCUAUAAGCAUACUGUUGUAUUGCUUUUCGUUCCUUGGAGAACAGUUGAUGCUUUGCCAAUGUCUGAAUGGACCUGCUAACUCUGAGAGCAAAGAAGUGGUUAAUUUGAUAAUAUUUAACUUGCCAAACCAUUCAUAUGCAGAGGUAACGUGCUCAGGAGUUGAACAGGGCAGUGCGAUCUCCCUUAGCUAUCAUUUCAGGAUGCCUGCAGAAUCAGGAAGGCCGUGUAUCAGCUUACACUCAACUUGGUAAUCUUGCAUGGGGCCUGUUUGUGUCUCUUGUGCUGAAGGCUGAAUGUAAAAUGAACAUUGUUAGCCAAGAAAGCAAAUAAAGGGAACUAUUUCCCAAGGCAUUUUACUCUGUUUAUUUAACGCCUCUGAACAAACCCCUUUCCACAUCCUCUGAACCUACUGGCAACUUCAGAUAGCUCCAUUUCCUGCUGGGUGAGUUUUUUCUAAAAUGUUUAUUCAGCUCCAGGAAAUGAUGAUUUCCUGAAUAUUCUGAAACUUCAUAUUUUUGUUGUAUCCCUGUUUAUUUAAUAGUCUUACUUAUUGUGUGAGUGUGCAAAGCACAACAACAUCCCUUGCCAUGUAACUGUGGAAGGAGUGGAACUUGAUGUAGUACAUCAAAAACCAGUUUAAGUGAAACUAGAUCUGUUUUUGCCAAUUUAUACACUAGUGUAUUUCCAUUAGCUUGAGUAGUUACUCCUUAUUUACACUGACCUUAAUGAGUUCGGAAGUAGGCUUUUAAAUUUCUCCUACUCCUUAAGAAAAAGUGCCUAAAAAUUCAAACUAGUGAAGGAGAAUUAAUUAGCCCAAAGCUCAACAUUUUAUAAUUCACAGCUUACAUUAAUGUCUGCUAGUUUUCUUUAUGCAGGAAACCAAUAGAAGGCACCAAAUGUUUUCGUCGCCCUCCACUGGGACUAAAAUUGAGAAAUUCUUAUUUUCUGAGGUCAAAGCUAACCUGUAUCCAGCACCCCAUCCCAACAUGGGUUUCACUAAAGAGAUUGAAACCUGUACACAGCCUUAAUGAAAAGGCCAUAAUAUUUUAUGUGAACCAGGAGUAACUAUGCUGAAAUGAGAAGUGCUUCACUAAGGUAAAUCAAGUGGGAUUGGUCCCAAAAGAAAUUCAGGAAUUACAUAGCUUUGCCAUUAACCUUGAACUGAGCCAAGUGUGUCUUCCAUGCUUUCUCCUUCUUUCUUGUCUACUUUUUGUUAACCUGCAUGGUCAGCUAUGACUUUUUUUUUUUUUCUUUUCUUUUUACAGGCAGAAAAGGUAAUUUAUGUUUCUUCUGAGCCUCAAGAGACAAUAUGGGCAUGCUGCGUUACCAUGCCCUAAAUGAAAUCUUAGAGUACCUAAGUAAAACUCACUCCACCCUUACCUGGAAGUUCCACUCAUGGAAACCACAUCCUUUCAUUGCCACCCACGUCUCCAUUCGGAAAGGACUUUGAAGGAGGAAGACUGAAGAUUAGAUCAUUCUUUUAUUAAGCAUCCUUUUGUCUGUUUUGCUCCAGAAACCAUGCUCUUCCUCUCCUAUGAGUCAUUUGUUGUUACUCUUACAACGUCUGUGGUAGGAAGGCUGGGUGCUUUCCCCCAAUUUAAAAUGUUCUUUUUAGAGUCUCUUCUCUUCUCUUCUCUUCUCUUCUCUUCUCUUCUCUUCUCUUCUCUUCUCUUCUCUUCUCUUCUCUUCUCUUCUCUUCUCUUCUCUUCUCUUCUCUUCUCUUCUCUUCUCUUCUCUUCUCUUCUCUUCUCUUCUCUUCUCUUCUCUUCUCUUCUCUUCUCUUCUCUUCUCUUCUCUUCUCUUCUCUUCUCUUCUCUUUUUCUUCCCUUCCCUUCCCUUCCACUCCCUUCCCUUCUCCCUUUCCUCUCCUCUCCCUUUCUCCUCCCCUCCCCUCCCCUCUCCUCCCUUCCUUCCUUCCAUGUCCCUUCUUUGUUUUUUGUUAUGCAUUUCAUAUUCAUUCACUAUUUUUACCCAAUUCAGACAGAGCCAUGCUACAUUGUGGACUAUUGCCAAAAAUUCUGCCAGUGACAAAGAUUGAAGCCUUCAUACGAACUGGAAGGAGUCUGUUCUUGGUCCACCCCAUGUGAAGCAACACUGUGCCCAUGCAUCUCUAUCUGAGAUGAAUAUUCUUUCUUUUGAUGCCAAGUAUUUGAUGUCCACCUACUGAGCUGAGUAAUCUCUGAGGAUGCCAUUGUUGCCAUGUUACCUCCUUCCUGAGUUCCUGUUGUGUAACUUUCCCACCAACUAAACCACGAUUUCCCAGCUCUGCCUGUGGUUGAGUGGUGCUUAAGAGACGGAGGGCUUGGAGAAGACUAAUGAUGGCCCAGCAAGGAUAUGUUUGCCUGAUGUUAUUAUGGGCUCAGAUGACACGUUCAGAGCUGACCCCAACCCACCUAUCCCCAGCUGCCUUUGGUAAUCAAGGUAGACAUUGUCGCAUGUCUUGAGAAUGGUUUCAGACACAUCUGUUGUUUGGUCUCUAGAGGCGCUGAUGGAGAAAUCUCUCUUCUCUGGGGCCAUCCUCAGCCUGCCACCUUGAUGAUACUUUCCUCCUCUCAGUGAGGGGGCCUGGACCACUGCAGGGGAAAAAACAUCUGUCCUCCUGGGACAGAGCUGGUUUGUUCUUCCUUCUGGAGAAGUGGAGGCUCAGGGGAGACCUUAUCGUCCUCUGAAACUACCUGGAGGGAGGUUGUAGUGA